rnacentral:lncRNA from 1 species
AUGAGCUUUCAAUACCUGCAAAUUUCCAUCUGGUUUGUUAGCAGCACUCCUCAUGAAGGGGAUUAUGAAAAGUUGGAGAUGCUACAGACAGGAGACACCAGGGAUCUGGGUAUCCUCCUUGAAGAACAGAAGGGAUGGGUAAGGCACACCAAACAGUCCCAGCAAUGGAAGCCAAAGUCACCGUUGUUCCUUUCCUUUGUCAUCACCCUGAUGGUGUGCAGAAGGACAGACACUGAUGGCCCACCUCCCAUGGGUUGUGUAUUAUCAGCAGUUUCAUAACAGAGUAGUUUUAGGCUUAACUGCAGCUCUGCUUUUGUUUAGAUGCCACUGACAGGUAACAGUGUGACCUGUUUAGC